rnacentral:rRNA from 1 species
UACAGAGGGGGCAAGCGUUAUUCGGAAUUAUUGGGCGUAAAGGGCGCGUAGGCGGCCUGGCAAGUGGAAGGUGAAAUCCCUCGGCUUAACCGAGGAACUGCCCUCCAAACUGCUUGGCUUGAGACCGGGAGAGGUGAGUGGAAUUCCCAGUGUAGCGGUGAAAUGCGUAGAUAUUGGGAGGAACACCAGUGGCGAAGGCGGCUCACUGGACCGGUACUGACGCUGAGGCGCGAAAGCGUGGGGAGCA